rnacentral:misc_RNA from 1 species
GAUGAAGAACGCAGCGAAAUGCGAUACGUAAUGUGAAUUGCAAAUUCAGUGAAUCAUCGAGUCUUUGAACGCACAUUGCGCCCCCUGGUAUUCCGGGGGGCAUGCCUGUCCGAGCGUCAUUGCUGCCCUCAAGCACGGCUUGUGUGUUGGGCCCCGUCCUCCGAUCCCGGGGGACGGGCCCGAAAGGCAGCGGCGGCCCCGCGUCCGGUCCUCGAGCGUAUGGGGCUUUGUCACCCGCUCUGUAGGCCCGGCCGGCGCUUGCCGAUCAACCCAAAUUUUUAUCCAGGUUGACCUCGGAUCAGGUAGGGAUACCCGCUGAACUUAAGCAUAUCAAUAAGCGGAGGA